UACGAAGGGGGCUAGCGUUGUUCGGAAUCACUGGGCGUAAAGCGUAUGUAGGCGGAUUGUUAAGUCAGGGGUGAAAUCCCGAGGCUCAACCUCGGAACUGCCCUUGAUACUGGCUGUCUUGAGUCCGGGAGAGGUGAGUGGAACUCCUAGUGUAGAGGUGAAAUUCGUAGAUAUUAGGAAGAACACCAGUGGCGAAGGCGGCUCACUGGCCCGGAACUGACGCUGAAAUACGAAAGCGUGGGGAGCAAACAGG
rnacentral:rRNA from 1 species